rnacentral:lncRNA from 1 species
UACAAGGUGUCCUGUGGGAAUGAUGUCCUUCCAAGUGUCAAAAUUUGCAUUUGAGCAAAAGAAAGUCCAAUAAGGAAUGAGAAACCCCAAGCAAGGAAGUGAGGCGAUUGCAGUGUUCAAGACGAAACCAUGCCUACCCUGAGUUCAGACAAAGCAGUAAGAAAAACUGGCACAACUACAGAGCUUUUGGUAUAGUUUAAUGUCACGAAAAGGAUAAUUACCUUCAUUUUCUUCUCAUUCUCAUCAGAAUCAUUUUCAUCAUCAGGAAUGCCUAUGCCAACAUGAUCAAUUGGACUGUUCGUUGCUCUCUUCUU